AACGUAGGUUCCGAGCGUUAUCCGGAUUUACUGGGCGUAAAGCGCGUUCAGGCGGUUUGGCAAGUCGGGCAUGAAAUCUCUCGGCUCAACCGGGAGAGGUUGUCCGAUACUGUUAGACUGGAGGGCAGUAGAGGGUGGUGGAAUUCCGGGUGUAGUGGUGAAAUGCGUAGAGAUCCGGAGGAACACCAGUGGCGAAGGCGGCGAUCUGGCCCAACAUUGACACUGAGACUCGAAAGUGCAGGGAUCAAACAGG
rnacentral:rRNA from 1 species